rnacentral:rRNA from 1 species
UACGUAGGGGGCUAGCGUUGUCCGGAAUCAUUGGGCGUAAAGCGCGCGUAGGCGGCCCGGUAAGUCCGCUGUAAAAGUCAAAGGCUCAACUUCUUGAAUGUCAGUGGAUACUGCCGGGCUAGAGUCCGGAAGAGGCGAGUGGAACUCCUGGUGUAGCGGUGGAAUGCGCAGAUAUCAGGAAGAACACCAGCAGGCGAAGGCAGCUCGCUGGGACGGUACUGACGCUGAGGCGACGAAGGACGUGGGGAGCGAACAGG